AUGAGGUCGACGGACUCCUCGUCGCGGUUCGUGCAGGAGCUGGUGCUGUACGCGGCGAGCGCGGCGCUCAGCUGCCUCGUCCUCUUCGCCGGCCUCCGCCAGCUCGACCCCAACCGCGAGUCCUCCAAGAAGGCGCUCCAGCACAAGAAGGAGAUCGCCAAGCGCCUCGGCAGGCCCCUCAUCUCCACCACCCCCUACGAGGAUGUGAUUGCGUGCGACGUCAUCAACCCCGACGAGAUCGACGUCGAGUUCGAGUCCGUCGGCGGCCUCGACGAGGUCAAGCAGGCGCUCUACGAGCUCGUCAUCCUGCCCCUGCGCCGCCCCGAGCUCUUCGCCUACGGCAAGCUCCUCAGCCCGCAGAAGGGGGUGCUCCUCUACGGCCCGCCCGGGACCGGCAAGACCAUGCUGGCCAAAGCCAUCGCCAAGGAGUCGGGCGCCGUCUUCAUCAACGUCAGGAUAUCCAAUCUCAUGAGCAAGUGGUUCGGCGACGCCCAGAAGCUCGUGUCUGCCGUAUUUAGUCUCGCCAACAAGCUUCAGCCCGCCAUUAUCUUCAUCGAUGAGGUUGAUAGUUUCUUGGGACAGCGCCGGAACACAGACCAUGAAGCUUUGACUAAUAUGAAGACAGAGUUCAUGUCUCUUUGGGACGGUUUCACCACCGAUCAGAAUGCUCGUGUGAUGGUGCUUGCUGCUACAAACAGACCUUCUGAGCUAGAUGAGGCCAUCCUCAGGCGCUUCACGCAGAUAUUUGAAAUUGGGGUUCCUGCUCGCAGUGAAAGAAGCAAGAUACUUGAGGUUAUAUUGAAGGGAGAAAAUAUCGAGUCUAACAUUGAUUAUGAUUACAUUGCCAGUUUGUGUGAGGGCUUUACUGGGUCAGACAUCCUAGAACUGUGCAAGCAGGCUGCAUUCUAUCCUAUCAGGGAGAUUUUGAACAGCGAGAAAGAUGGGACAAGAGCAAAUAGUCCAAGACCCUUGAGGCAAUCGGACCUGGAGAAAGCUUUGUCAACAUCUAGAAAGGGAAAGAAGGCCGCAAGCGGUGCGACAUCGGGUCUCCAGUCACCUGUGUGGAUCCGGCCAUCGGAUCCCGAAGAUGACCAGAUCUCUGAAAAAUCCGCAGUGGAGUAA
rnacentral:rRNA from 1 species